rnacentral:rRNA from 1 species
GACGAACGCUGGCGGCGUGCUUAACACAUGCAAGUCGAACGGAAAGGCCCCUUUGGGGGUACUCGAGUGGCGAACGGGUGAGUAACACGUGAGUAACCUGCCCUUGACUUCGGGAUAACUUCAGGAAACUGGGGCUAAUACCGGAUAGGAAUCCUUGCUGCAUGGUGGGGGUUGGAAAGCUUCGGCGGUUUUGGAUGGACUCGCGGCUUAUCAGCUUAUUGGUGGGGUAGUGGCUUACCAAGGCUUUGACGGGUAGCCGGCCUGAGAGGGCGACCGGCCACAUUGGGACUGAGAUACGGCCCAGACUCCUACGGGAGGCAGCAGUGGGGAAUAUUGCACAAUGGGCGGAAGCCUGAUGCAGCAACACCGCGUGCGGGAUGACGGCCUUCGGGUUGUAAACCGCUUUCAGCAGGGGCGAAGCUUGUGGUGACGGUACCUGCAGAAGAAGCACCGGCUAACUACGUG